rnacentral:rRNA from 3 species
UGCUGGAGGUAUCAGAAGUGCGAAUGCUGACAUAAGUAACGAUAAAGCGGGUGAAAAGCCCGCUCGCCGGAAGACCAAGGGUUCCUGUCCAACGUUAAUCGGGGCAGGGUGAGUCGACCCCUAAGGCGAGGCCGAAAGGCGUAGUCGAUGGGAAACGGGUUAAUAUUCCCGUACUUGGUGUUACUGCGAAGGGGGGACGGAGAAGGCUAUGUUGGCCGGGCGACGGUUGUCCCGGUUUAAGCGUGUAGGUGUGUGUUCCAGGUAAAUCCGGUU